AUUGAACGCUGGCGGAAUGCUUUACACAUGCAAGUCGAACGGCAGCACGGGUGCUUGCACCUGGUGGCGAGUGGCGAACGGGUGAGUAAUACAUCGGAACGUACCCAGUCAUGGGGGAUAACUAACCGAAAGGUUAGCUAAUACCCCAUACGCCCUGAGGGGGCAAGCGGGGGACCGUAAGGCCUCGCGCAAUUGGAGCGGCCGAUGUUUGAUUAGUUAGUUGGAGAGGUACAGGCUCACCAAGGCGACGAGCAGUAGCAGGUCUGAGAGGAUGAUCUGCCGCACUGGAAGUGAGACACGGUCCAGACUCCUACGGGAGGCAGCAGAGAGGAAGUGUGGACAAUGGGCGAAAGCCUGAUCCAGCCAGUCCGCGUGAGGGAAGAGGGCCUUCGGGUUGUAAAGCUCUGUCGGAAGUGAAGAAACGCUCUGGGAUAAUACUCCGGGGUAAGGGCGGUACCUGAAGAAGAAGCACCGGCUAACUACGGGCCAGCCGCCGCGGUAG
rnacentral:rRNA from 1 species